rnacentral:rRNA from 1 species
UAAAUACAACUUUCAACAACGGAUCUCUUGGCUCUCGCAUCGAUGAAGAACGCAGCGAAAUGCGAUAAGUAAUGUGAAUUGCAGAAUUCAGUGAAUCAUCGAAUCUUUGAACGCACCUUGCGCUCCUUGGUAUUCCGAGGAGCAUGCCUGUUUGAGUGUCAU